CACCGCGGUUAUACGAGGGGCUCAAAUUGAUAAUCCACGGCGUAAAGCGUGAUUAGAGAACAAAAACACUAAAGCCGAACAUCCCCUCAACUGUUAUACGUUUAAGGGGACACGAAGCCCCACAACGAAAGUAGCUUUACUUUAAAAUCUUGAACUCACGAAAAUUAAGAAA
rnacentral:rRNA from 1 species